UGCAGCCGGCACAGAGUUGCUUAGCAACUUCCCUGUGGGCAGUGCUGGGAUGAAAUGAGGACCAGGACAUGCCACGGACCCCCUGAAUCCCUGUCCAUCCAGAGUGAUGCGGUGGUGAGUGUGAUCCAGGAAAGCUGCCCUGGUGACGUGAGGCUGAACCUGCUUCAGAGUGACAAGCCUUCCGGAUGAUCCCAGAACAGGAUAGUGAGACGGAUCCUGUUAGAAGAAGCCUGUGAGAAAUGGAAUAUUUCUUGCCAUAUCAGUAAACAAAGGAUGUCAUGGUCUUCAGCACUUGCAGCCCUCCAAUGAGAGCCGGCGGGCCCUGAGGCACUCAGGAUAUGCAAAUACAGAAUGCAGGCCCCAGAGAGCUGAGGUGCACAUCAAAGGAAGGAUUUCAGCGAGCCCAGACUCUUGCAUCUUCCCAUACAAAGGAAAGCGCUCCAUUCCUCACCUUGGGAG